rnacentral:rRNA from 1 species
GACGAACGCUGGCGGCGUGCUUAACACAUGCAAGUCGAACGGAAAGGCCCUGCUUUUGUGGGGUGCUCGAGUGGCGAACGGGUGAGUAACACGUGAGUAACCUGCCCUUGACUUUGGGAUAACUUCAGGAAACUGGGGCUAAUACCGGAUAGGAGCUCCUGCUGCAUGGUGGGGGUUGGAAAGUUUCGGCGGUUGGGGAUGGACUCGCGGCUUAUCAGCUUGUUGGUGGGGUAGUGGCUUACCAAGGCUUUGACGGGUAGUCGGCCUGAGAGGGUGACCGGCCACAUUGGGACUGAGAUACGGCCCAGACUCCUACGGGAGGCAGCAGUGGGGAAUAUUGCACAAUGGGCGGAAGCCUGAUGCAGCAACGCCGCGUGCGGGAUGACGGCCUUCGGGUUGUAAACCGCUUUCGCCUGUGACGAAGCGUGAGUGACGGUAAUGGGUGAAGAAGCACCGGCUAACUACGUG